CCUUCUCCACUCCGGAUCUUCCCUGUUCCCAUCAUCGCAGAUCUGAGCUGCAGUCGGAUUGUAUCUGUAGUUCUGGAAUAGGACCAGAGGCAGCGUGAGGAGGAAGCUCUCACAGCUCUCUUGGAUUGUGCUGCACUUUCUAUCCGACCUACAGAGGGAGCCCUUCCAGUGGUGUCAGUGACAACAUACUGUGUGGCAACUAACUUAUUUUUAUAGGGACUGUCAGUUUGUAGCUGAACACAUGGCGAGAUUCAGACAACCCCUGUUCAUGGAACAACCAUUACCUCGGUCGCGACUGACAAAGCUCAAAUUAAGUCAAAUGGAGAAUUCCGUCUGGACGCGGUACUUCCAUGAGCCAAGUACUUUCAGGUCCAUGGUGGUGCAGCUUGGUCAGAGUCUUCUGCAGAUGGGGGCUUCUUUGGUGGGCCUCCUGGUGGCAUGUAGUGACAUAUUAUUUCUUCUCGCCCAUAUUCUUAAGGUCUUGUAUGAUAUGGUAGAGGUGGUCCUGAGCUUUGUUCUGUCAGCUUGUAAUAUAAUAUGGAUUCUCGUUGUACACUCUCCAGUUAUGACAUACAGAAUUUGGGAAUAUCUUUUUCGUUACCCAGGCCUUGCUUACACUGCAUUUGGCAUGUGCUUUUCUGUCCUGCAGGCAAUAUUUAAAGCAGUCUUCACGAUAAUAGCUUACAUUUGUAUAAUGUUUUUGAUUAUUAUAUUUCUUUCUGUUAUACGAUACAAUAAGUCACACAUGACAGAUCCGGAUUUCCACACAUCUUCAGGCUUCAGGCUAAAGGCUCAUUAACCUGUUCCUGCCAUGGUGGCUGUCAUUAUUUGCAUUCAUAUUAUUCAUUUUCGUGAACUCAACAGAGCCAUAUUAGCCCCAUUUUGGCCUUGAGGACACAGUUUUCAUUUUUGCGUUUUUUCCUCCUCUCCUUGAAAGAGAGACAUACAGUAACUCCUUUAUUUUUCUAGCUACAAACCCAUAUGAAGUUUUUUUUUCAUGACCAAUUGUACUUUGUAAUGACAUCUCUCAUUUUACCAAAUCUGCAAAACUACAAAAUUACUGUGUGGAUGGAAAUUUAUAAGAAAACUGCAAUUUUGGAGCUUUUGGACGUUUUUUUUUUUUUUUUUUUACACAGUGCACUUUAUGGUAAAAAUUAUAAAUAAUUUUUAUUCUGUAGGUCAAUGCUAUUAAAACGAAAAAAAAUUGCGCUGUGAACUGUAGUUUUUAUCGGUUCCAUAUUUGGAUGUGACUUUUUGAACGCUUUGUAUACAUUUUUUUUUUAUAUAUGAUGUGAUUAAAAAUCAGUAUUUUUGGCAUUUGGUAUUUUUUUGUUGCCGUUUACCAUUGGCGAUCAUAAACAUUUUAUUUUAAUAGUUUGGACAUUUACGUAUGUGGCAAUAUCAAAUAUUUUAGUGGACUUUUAUAUGCAAUCAUUAGAUUGCAUUCACUGUAUAAUGUUAUCCUAUGGCAUAGCAUUCCACUGUGUGAUUGGCGAUCCACUGAUACAGCCUAGCUUAACCAGGCUGCAUCAGUGAGUUGGUAGUCAUCAGUAGGAGGCAGGUAAGGGGAUCCUCCUUCAUUUUAGCUUAUCGUUCCCCCCGUGAUCACGUUAAGCUUCACUAAGCUAACCAGCAACUCACUGUGAUUGGCAUUGAUCACAGCGUCUAAAGGGUUAAUGACGGGCAAUAGCAAUGAGUUUCUGUAGCUGACACUCACUGCUCUUAAAGGGGUUCUCCACUGCCCCAGCGUUUGGAACAUUUUGUUUCACAUGCAGGGUGCAGGCUGCCGGGGUUAUUACGUC